rfam:Heterocephalus glaber contig119682, whole genome shotgun sequence.
GGGGUUGUAGGUCAGUGGUAGAGCACUUGCCUAGCAUGUAAGAGGCCCUAGGUUCAAUCCCCAGCACCA